AGCAAAUGCUAUUUUGUGUGUUUACUUUUCACAUAACUAUUCUUUUUUUCCCUUUAAAUGUUUUUAUUCCAUCAUUUGUAAUAUAAAGACAUAUAAAUCUACUGUUUCUAUAUCAACUUGACCUAUUUUCCUUCUCAGUUUUGCAAAUUUGCAACGUUGGUGAAUUCAAAGAAUUGAGUACGCGAAGAUGAUGGAUUCAUUGUGUUUACACUUCCCGGGACUAUAAAAAUACAGUAAGCAUUUACAUUUUAAAAUUAACUCUAAAAGUACUCGUUUUUGGAGCUUUGAAAUUGGACACGUUCUUCUUCUCUUCCCUCUUCAUGAGAACACCUCCAUUUCGCAAUUAAUCGAAAAGACAGUUUUUGAAAGAUGUUGUUUCCUCUUGGGGUUUUAAAAGUUAACUAACAAGAGGUAUCCAAAAGGAUAGGACAAGCGUUACUGCAGAAUUACUAUUCCAGAUUUAACCUGCGUAUUAUGUUUCAACAUUAAAAAAAAAGUUCAGCAGAAUUAAACAAUCGAGUGUGACCUCGUUGUAAGUCUUUAGAAACGAUCAUCAAGCUUCUUUUCUUUAGACUAUAUUCACUAGUACAUGGAUUGACAAUCUUGACACUGUACAUGAAAAUUUCUAUCCCAAGCCGUAAUUAUAUGGCUUUAAUCGACAAGAAUACUUCGUUAACCCCAUCAUCGGUGUUUCUUGUGUUUCAACCUUUAAUGCAUUGUUAUAAAGUCUUUGAUUGGAAAGUUAUCACCAGUGUUGCGAACGAUGUUAAUAUAUUGUUCUUGUAUUAAGCAUUUUGCUGCUUCGACCAUCGACACACCUCUUCCUUUACUAAAUAUAAACAACUUCCAGAGUAUUUGCCUUCUCUCCAUCCUUCAUUUCAGCAUGACUUUCUUCAAGUCAAGUCUUUGAGCACAUAUUUCCUUCAGCUCGUACACGUUCUUACAAUUGUUUUGUUUGAAUAUAUCCAACACCUCGUUUGCAACAACCGUCGACAUGCAUCUCCAAUGGAAGACCGAAAAGUAAACAAAGCAACAUUUUACUUGUUUACCUUUUGUUGCGUCAUUAUUUGCUCUUUUUAAAAUAGCUUUGAUACCUCGUUUACCACCGUGGAUAAAAUUUUGUCUGGCUUAUGGAUGACCGGAAACUAGUCGUCUCAUCUCAUUUUCAAUGAUUCAAUUAACAGUUUCCUAUAACAUUGGAUAUGGAUUUUUGAUGGUGCCUUAAUGUGUACAUCUGACACAUCAAGGAGGUACUAAAGUAAUGUCCUUUCGGAAAAUUUCGUUAGACCAGAUAUUGGCCUGUUACUCAAAAUUUACACAAGUAUUAGCGAGCUGAACGAAUCCUGCUUUGUUAACUAAUUAUGUGUUAACGCAUGAAACAAUGCUGCGCCCAUGUGCACGUGACGGUACUCUCCCUUCCCUUUGUUGAUGAAGAGCCGAGGAACCCGCCCUCAGCUUUACAAACCUGCCUCCUCCCAACACCAUCCCAUAGCAUACAAAUAAGUGGGACUUUCAAGUUAAAACUUGUUCAAAG
rnacentral:lncRNA from 1 species